CUCGGACAUAUCACCUUUCAAAUGGUGACAGCCGCUUUGAGUAUGUUAGCAUACGGUAUUCCGACGGACCUAGUUGAUGAUCAUUUGUCCAUGGGUGAGAGUCAAGCCAUCAUGUGUGUCAAGCACUUCGCAGUUGGAAAUGUACAAGCGUUUGAUCCGGAAUAUUUGAGAGCUCCCAAUGCUGAAGACACCGCAAGGCUUUUGAAGAUAAACAAAGCUCGCCGGUUCCCAGGUAUGCUUGGCUCAAUAGAUUACCUGCAUUGGAGUUGGAAGAACUGUCCUUACUAA
rnacentral:rRNA from 1 species